CUCAAACGUCUGCAACUUACUUUAAAUGCACUUUUUUUUUUCCUGUGCAUGUUCUAAGCUUUUGGAGCUAUAAAUGGUUUUUAUUCUUCAAUGUCAAACUGUAUAGAUGGUAAAUGCUUGUAUUUAUAUUUUCAGUAAGAUACAUUUCUGGAAUAGUCUAAGCUGUUGUCACAUUCAUACAGUGCAUGUAGUGUGGUAGGUGACAUAUCUCACUGCGCCUGUGUAAAACUUCAUUCCACUUCUGACAUGCUGGAACCAGUGCCAAUAUAUACACACUGAGAUAAGUGCUGGUGUUGGAGGAACAUAACACACAGGGAACAUCGUUGGACAAGGUAGUUUUCUAGCAAGGAUUAGCAAAUUGUAGUUCUUUUUCUUUUAGUUGAUAAAAGAAUGGCAUUGCUGUUGGUCACAAUCUACUUAUAGCUCUAUGUAAAACACUCACUUUAGCAAACUUUAAAGUAGAUGACAGUCGGUGAAAUAUAUAUCAGUCUUACAAGGUUAUUGGAAUAUUCUCCAUACCAUUGCUUUUUAAUCUAUAUUAGCAAUUUUAUUUAAGGAUAUUGAUCAUAGUGUUAUUAUUGAAAAUAAAAAAAUUAUGCAAUGCAUACCUACAACUAAAUACUUAUUUUGAGUGCAUAUCCCUGCUUAGCCUUGCUCUUUGAGGGCAGCCAUGAUGAAAUGUUCUGUUUGAAUGUCAGAAACCAUCUCAAGCAUGCUUUUGAGAUGCAUUGCACUUGAAAAUGGCAUCAGGAUUUGUGGAAUUGCACUAACUUGGUUACCAGCAUGGCUAUUGGUUGGAUAAGUGGUGCUCCUUACCAAAGAUGAUAUAAAAAUGGCUGCCCCCAUGAAGCAAACGUAAGCCAAAUGAUGCAUUAAAAUAUAUUGACUUAGAAGUAUGUAUUAUGAAAUUAUAAACACAAAGGCUAUCAUAAAUGGGAUCUGAAAUAAUACAAAUUGAUAUCUGUCUGUCUUUUAAAUGGAUUAGACACAAUAACAGGUAGAAAGGCCUGGUCACAUACCAGCUGGCUGUCUGAUGUCCAUUUCUCUAUGCAUGACAGUGGGGCACUUGAUGCAUUGGGUAUUGGAAAUCUAGGAUGUGAUGUAUGCACACACUACACUGAAAACAGCCCCAUCCACAACCACAUAACCAGACUCUCCCCACAUCCUGCAGAUGAGAGUUGGGAGUGCAGGAAUGAGCAGAUCUCAGGAGAAGCUCGCCCACAGAGCGAAACGAAACGUAUUUGUUGAGUAAAGUAAAUGUAGUGAGUUAUUUAUUGGUUAGAAUUAGCAGUUUGAUUUGGAUCCUGAAGGAUACAGGUAGCCAAUAUCAUGAUUGGCACAUGGGGGAGGUCAAGAAAGAACCAAGUGAGGUCUGGAAAGUUGACAUGCCUGUUUGUUGUUAAUAGUAAAUAAAUAUAGCACUGUUUUUUUAAGUGUUUCAUUUCAAAAUAUUUGGUUUUGUUUCUAUUAAAUUAUGUUCUAUGUAUGCAAACUGAAACAAACAGGAAUGGUGUAUGAGGAUUCAAAG